GAUUAGUUCAUUUAACAAUGUUAGUCCUUAUAAAUGAACUUACGUACACUUAAAAGCUGUUAAAAGUACAACUUUCGAUCUUUAUUGUUUCUGUUUUUUGCUUACAACACUGCUUACCGCUACUUGCUCCCCUGUACUUUUAAUCUAUUUACUUUUAACAAAACACUCGGCUUGAUGCAUGGGUUGUAAAUUCAAACAUUUAUGUAUAUCCAUGUAGCAAUUUGAAUGGAUGUAGAUCUUAUUGAAAAAAAAAAGUUUAUAAUUAUUUGCGAGCCUUAAUGGUUGUCAUCAACUUUGAGCCAAAAGUUCUAUUGAAAAAAAAAAUCUUGAUUCUGAAAAUGAUGGUAUUUACUAUGUUAUCAAAUUAGAUUUGAUAAGACAGUAAUGGGAAAGUGGUAGUUGUUGUAACAUAAAUUUAAGAGGCAUAUAAUUAUUAACCUUUGGUGUGUGUCUAUCACUAAAACACGUAGUUGCUUGGGGCACUAGCAUAUAUGCUGUGAAUCAUGUCAACCAUUUUUAGUGGGUUAAGCUGUAUAAUGCUAAGAGAAAAAAUUAGAUUGGUUAGAGUGCAACCUGUUAUAUAUGGGACCAGUAGAAACUAGAAGGUAGAAAGAAAAAGACAGGAACAGAGGAAGAAGUAAAUGACAAGUGUAUUGGAGCACUGAAAUUGCUUUUCUUAGACCACCAUGUUACAGAAUUCCAAUAUAUACUGCACACAAAAGUAAAGUACUCUUCAUAUGUGAUACAGAGUCAUUCUAUUCAUGUUUUAUCUCUCUUGCAUGUGUAUGUACCUACUAGAAGGAACUUCAGAAGCAGUAGUUUGAGACUUUUGAGUUUGUUCUCCUGAUUUAGAAUCAUCUGCAUUUGUUUAUCUGACAGUUUCUGGAUAACUAAUACAGAUUUGUUGAUAAUCACCUUCUGAAGCUCCUUGCUUCUGAAGGCUUUUCACGGGUGUCAGCAUCUUCCUCCGGCAAUUUGACAGCAGAGUAGGUUCCUGCUCCACACAGUGCCCCAAGAAUGGGUGCAGUGAGGUAGAUCCAUAUGCCCUUGUAGUUGUUUGCAGCUAUAGCAGGCCCUAAAGUUCUCACUGGAUUCAUGGAUGCACCUGUAGAUUGGCUGCACCAGAGGGUGUCACAUCCUCAAGUUCAAGAGGCAUCUAUAAGCAUUAAUCAUUAAUCUCCAGAAAAAUUAUACCAUGAAAUUGAUGUACGAAUAACAGUUUCACAAUAACUAUCGUUUGCAAAAUUUUAUUUCAUUAAUGAGAAACCAUUGCUUAGAUUCAAUAUAAAAUAGAUGAAACUUGUAUAUUUUUAUCUUAAGUAUAGGAUAAACCAAUCCUUCAUUAAUUAUUGCAAGAAGGAUAUUUAUAUAAAAGGAAGACAGGAGGGGCGACGACCUACCCGGCGAUGAGUAUGUUGAGCAUGACGGUGGCCCCCACCGCGAUUCCCGCCAACUCUCCCACCUGCAUGUGUUCAUAAUUUUAGCCACAGCUGCCAAGUUUGACAAUUUUUAUGCCAUUAAUUAUUAUUUAUUAGUAUACAUGCAUAGUUUUUUUUUUAUUUGUUUGAACAUGUACAUGCAUAGCUCACUCAUAUUUUUUUAGAUCACAAUAAAAAAAAUUAUUUUUAAUCUUUAAAAUUAAAAAAAUAAUAAUAUUUUAUUAGAUGAGAAUUUAUUUGAUCUUAAAUAAAAAAUAAAAAAUUUAAUUUUAUAUUUAUACUCCAAUAAAUAGAAACUAGCGAUUUUAAGUUAGUUCCAUACUUGAAUCGACCCAGCCUAUUAUACCUUUUUCUAUCAUUAUUAGUAAGGAGGGAGUUGGGGGAUUGAAAAGAUAAGCCAGGUUGCUUUUUGUUUAUUAAAAAAAAAAGGAACCGUAAAGUGGGAGAAAUUCCAAAAGUCUAACCAAGAUGACUCAGAUACUUCACCAAACAAAACAAGAGGGCUCACAUAGGCAUGUGCCCACCUAGAAUCUACAAUUGAAAAAUGAAAUACAAAAUGUUCUGGAUGGUGAAUGUGUGGAAUGGAGAAAAGCACUUGGAAUGGAGGAGAAUAAGGUGGGGGGAAAAAAAUUGAAAGAACAAGAGACAAGGAGGGGCUCUGCUCCUGUUCCUGCUCCUUUCCCUGUUCCUCUUGUGACUAUUAAUUAUUGGAUGGGAUAUGUGUAAUAAUUCAUCAUUGUUUGAAGUUUUCCUCUUACCAUGAGAGAGACUUGAGCAAAACACUAAGGCUUUCUUUAAUAAAAUAAGGUACGUUAAAGUAAAAUAUGUUAAGGUAAGAUAAUAUUUUAUUUUAUAUUCGAGAGAGAAAAAGAUAAAGUAAAGUAAGAUAAAUAAAUAUUUAAUAAUAUUAUUUUAUUUAAAAGAAAAGAAUUAAAAAGUAAGAUUAAAUAUGAAUAUUAUAAAUAUUGUCUUUUAUAAAACAAUUAAAAACACAAAAAUAAGAAAUGAGUAAUCAACCCAUCAAAUUGGUGGGUUGAAAAACGAAAGGAUUUUGGAGGGGGGGUGUAAACUUCUCCCAAAUAAUCUAAAACUCUCCUAAAAUCUUUCUUUACUUAACUUUACCCUCAAAACCCCUCCUUUCAAACAAUUUAUUGAUGCCAUUUUUUUUUCUUUAAUAUUGAAAAACAGAAUUUUACUUAUUUUUAAAAUUGUACCCUAAUUUUUUCUUUAAUAAUUACACUCUAAAUUAUUAACAACAAUAUAAUUAUACCGUAUCGUUAAUAACACCUUUAGAUGUUAACAAGAUUGCUACCUCAGUUUUAACACCGUUUA
rnacentral:misc_RNA from 1 species